GGUUGAGGCCAAGUUGAGGCAACGUUCAUGAGAGCCCUCGUAGAUACUAGCGCCACAUUUCCCUCUAGGGUAUUUAUUUAAAACUCUAUGGUUCCAUCUCCCUAGCAGAGCUGUGAAAUUGAAGCACUGAAGUCUGUUUAUCAAACUAUAGUCACUAUAGUGUUAUCAGGAGUGGACUGCGUGGAGUCUGUGGGGUACCGUCUUCUACUGGUGUGAUUUGAGUCAACGUCGACUUUUAAAUGCACCUUAAGUAUAACUACUGGCGUGCGUUGCAGAUAUAGUGCCAUCUUUAAAGUAUUGUGGUUUCAGCAAAGAAAGCAGUGCGUGAACAUAAUGCGUAGUGACGACGACAGGUGCAGUGACAGGCCUCGGUCGUCGAGCCACUCGAAAAAGUUCCGCAUGAAUGAAGGAGAUUGGCUUUGCGUCGAUUCGCAGUGUGGCAACGUCAACUUUGCACGCAGGACCAGCUGCAAUCGUUGUGGUAAAGAAAAACUGGAUCUGGCAUCUAAGCGGCAGCUGGGUCACGAGAUUGGCAAGGCAGCAGCCGAGAAAAGUCGUGGUCUGUUCAGUGCUGACGACUGGCAAUGUGGCCGCUGUGGCAACGUGAACUGGGCUCGCCGUCAGUCAUGCAACAUGUGCAAUGCUCCCAAGUUUGGCGAAGUGGAGGAACGCACAGGCCUUGGAGGGGGCUACAACGAGCGUGAGAAUGUCGAGUAUGUGGAUCGGGAGGAAUCAGAUAGCGAGUAUGAUGAUUUUGGCCGCCGAAAGAAGCGGGCUCGACGAGAUGAUGACCGGGCAGCCAGUCCCCCCUCCCGGCGAUCAGAAAGGGAGGAUGAAGAAAAGGAGAAUGAUGACAAUGAUAAGGAAGAGAAGGAGGAGGAGGAGGAGGAGGAGGAGGAUGAUGAUGAUGGCGGAGGUGAUCUUUCCAAGUAUGACCUGAGUGGCUGGGAUUCUCCUCACAGCCCCGGCUCGAGUGGCAAGCCAGAAGAGGAACAGCUCCAGGAGGAAAAAGCAGCAGCUGGAGGAGCGUCCAGGUCCAGGAACUACAGGUGGCAGCACCGUCGCCGCGUUAGUGUGGAUAGGCGGUAGACGGCGCGCACUGAAAUGUACAUGGCGGCGUUCCGCUGUGAACCAUGUGGCCCUGUUUUCUGGGACAUCCGGGACUGAGGAGGCAGGAAAUAAAAGCUGUGGCAGCAGAGA